CUUGAUAUCUAUAAGAGGUCCAGCCUGCCCAGUGACGAAGUUCAACGGCCGCGGUAUCCUAACCGUGCGAAGGUAGCGUAAUCACUUGUUCUUUAAAUGAGGACUAGUAUGAAUGGCACCACGAGGGUUAUACUGUCUCCUUUUUCUAAUCAAUGAAACUAAUCUCCCCGUGAAGAAGCGGGGAUAAACUUAUAAGACGAGAAGACCCUAUGGAGCUUUAAACAACAAUAGCACUAGCCUUCAUCUUUAUACUUGAGAGAUACAACUAUUAUAUUGGCUAACAUGACUAUUAGUUUUAGGUUGGGGUGACCGCGGAGCAAAAACUAACCUCCACAUUGAACGGAGCUUUCCUGAGCUAAAAGCUACAACUUUAAGCACCAAUAAAUUGACAUCAAUUGACCCAACACGUUGAGCAACGAAC
rnacentral:rRNA from 2 species